AACGCAUCUUGCGCUCCUUGGUAUUCCGAGGAGCAUGCCUGUUUGAGUGUCAUUAAAUUCUCAACUACACUGAUUUUAUUAGUGUGGCUUUGGAUCUUGGGGACUGCUGGUUUUGUAAAUAAAGUCAGCUUCUCUGAAAAUCAUUAGUGGUACCUUAGUAGAACUGUUUACAGAUGUGAUAAUGAUGUAUCUACAUCUUAAAUAUCUACGCAAGAAGGUUUAUACUACUUCUAAAAUUUUUCUCUUAAAGGGACUAGUUUUGACAAUCUUGACCUCAAAUCAGGUAGGACUACCCGCUGAACUUAA
rnacentral:misc_RNA from 1 species